rnacentral:misc_RNA from 1 species
UCUCCAUCUUCGCCUGGGACCACGCCCCCCCUUGGGCCGUACGCAUGACAUGCAUGGAUCUCGGGAGGACCCCCGGCCGUUUAGUGCUCUGGGCAUUAACUGUGAUAUGGCUGGGAGGCCCGAAGAGCUGCUGCCUCGCGUGCCUGGAAAGAGGGGAGAUAAGGGGACUGCUGGGGGACACGAGCGGUUUGAAGUGCUGACGCCUCGGGCUGCGAAAGGAACUGGACACGAGGAGGAAGUUUGGAGCCAAGAGAUGCAGUCAAUGUGUUGCAUGGGAAAUAUGGAAGAUAUGGCGGCAGAGGAGCAGACGAUCUCUACCUCUGAAGCUAUCGGCCAGCGGACGGUGGAAAAAAUAAACAACCUCCCCUCCUUUCGCCCUGGUGGGCCGCGGGGCUGGAUUGCUCCAUGGACGCCCCAGCUGGACAUAUCUGCUGGGUUGCUGAAUUCCUGUGGACCCAG